GGUGCUGUGGUCUAAUUAGACUUAAUUAAGACCAUGUAGAACUGCAAUGUGAAGAGUCAAUGCACCCACCUGUCCAUCUAGUUUGCAGCUGCAGUAAACCACUUCCCUUUCCAAAGCCUUGUUGAAUUUUUGUAGUGUUUGAUCCAGGAACACUUCAGCUCCCUGCAUGAUUGCAUCUCUAGCAACUUUGCAGCUUUAAUGCAAGAUUUCCAAAGUGUUUUACAAGCACAAUUCAUUGAGACCUGCAACAUCCCUGUGAGGCAGGAUAAGAUACAUCUCCCAAGGUCCCGUUCUGUCAAGAGCCAUGUGGAAUCUGAUGUGCAGCAGCUUCUCCAUGAUAAAGGAAAGAGGAGGGUACAGAAGGCACUUCAGGGACAUCCUCAAGGCCAACUUAAAAUACAACAUAGAUGUCAACUCGUGGGAGACUAUCGGUCCAGGACCACCUCAAACAGAGAGAGAGUCUCCUGCAAGGAUCUCAGUACUUUGAAACCUCACAACAAUAACAGGAGAUAGAAAAGCAGGAGUGGCAGAAACAGCAUGUUGCGGACCAGAUCAAGAAUCCAGCACCACCCACCCUGUACAGAAACGCAUGUCCGAGUUGCAGUAGAUUUUUGUCAAUCCCAGAUGGGCCUCAUCAGCCAUCUUCAGAUGCACAGAUAAGACAAUCAUAGAAGACAAUCAUUCUUGACUGAAAGGGACUGCAGAAGAAGACUUAUGGGAAUCCCCUUCCCUGGGGAUCUUCAAAAGACAACUGGAUGCACACCUCACUGGGGUCAUCUGUCUUCCCUGCCUUGAGCAGGGGGGCUGGACCUGAUGAUCUCUGAGGUCCCUUCUAGCCCCUAACUUCUAUGAAUCUAUGAACUGUAUGGAUGCAUUUCUCAAAAUGACUGGGCUCCUCUUUAUUCAUGUAUGCUGUUUUGCAUAUAUAAGUUCUGCAGUUGGUGAGUAAGAGAAGUAGCCUCUUCUUUUUUUUUUUUUUUUUUUUUCAGUUUAUGUAAAAUUUCUUACUUAUUUUGCAUCAUGUAUGAAAAUGUGGUGAAAAAUUCUUUAUUCUUCUUUGAGUCUUGCCAGUGUGCUGUGGAAAAGGGUGCCGUAUUGACCUGACUAUAACAUAACUGGGUAGGCCAUGCUGUGACCACAGUAAUAAGAAAACACCAUUAGGAAAAAAGAGGUUGGGGCAUCUUUUAAAGUUUGAAGCAGAUUACCCUGGUUCUAAUGCUGUUGUUGUCUAGUUCAGUCAUUUAGGUUUUAGGGCUUAUUUAGAUGGCCAAAUAUAUUUUUUCUGUUUUGCAAUAGAGUAAAAAUUGUUCUUCAGAAACAGCAUGCAAACAAAACUUUAUCACAUUAAUGUUCACAAGUGGUCAAAGGGGUGGUAAAAUGAUGAAUCCAAAUUCAAGGUUUUAAUUGGCUGUGAACUUGAAUUUUGUUUUUCUAGCUGUUUGUCUGGCAUUAAUUAUUCUGACCUGGAAUAUAGGUUCAGGUUUUGGAUACUUUAAAAUCUAAAUUUAAAUAUAGACACAACAGAAAUAGCAAAUAGAACAUAAUGGAACCUAUUACUUGAAUGGGGAGGUUUGCAUGAUGAAACUAGAAGUGUUUAAUCUGUGAAGGAGAAGAGAUACUGAAUGAGAGAUGUGUGGAUAUAGAAUGAUGAAUAACCAUGUAGCAGGUCAUAUAGUCAUUCUUAUUUACCUGUGUUUGUAAUACAAGGAGAAAGGUCACACAAUCUGCAUUUUGGAUUACAUCUAUGUUUAUGGGUAAAAGGUAGAUUUUUGUGUGUGUUACGGAUAAUUGAAAGACAGUCCUCAAAUUAAAAGCCUCUCAGGGUCGCAUUUCCUUUCCUUGUUCUGCAGUUUUAUAUGCCCUUGCUUACCCAGAAUAAGAUGCUGAAUCUCUUUUUAUUUUCCACAGAGAAGUGUUAUGCCUCCUCCUGAAGAAUCUAACUUUGACCACUGUUAGAGACAAAAAAUUAUAUAAAAGAAACAAAAAAACCACACACAACAAAACUGCAGUUAAAGGGCCAUUCAUCUUGUGAAGUGUAACACUUCCUGUGUUCUCUACUGCAGGAACUUCACAUCUGUUUUUUUCCUGUACUCAUGGACCACCUCGGUAGGGGAAAAAAAAUGUUUUAGGGAUCUAAAUAUAAAGGAAUGCAAUUUUAACAUAUUGUGUCAUUAAGAAGUUUAGGAGCUUUUAGACAUAAUCUGAAGGUAGUGGAAAAUUAGAUGCAGUGUUGCAUUAGACAUGUUUCUAGUAUUUUCUUCUUUUUGUAAAAGCUGUAAUUUUCAGAGUUUAGAACCAAUUUAAUGUCCCUGGAGUUAGAGCUUUUUUGUAUCCAUUGUCCAUUAGGUGAAUUACUAAGCCAAGAAUGGAAUCCAUUUAUAAUGUAUAAAAUACUGUAAAAUGUCUUUAAAACAGUCUAGGCAGGGAAAAGAGCAUCAGGAGUCCAUUAAAAUUGAAGACAGUGAGUUCUGAGGUGGUUCUUAUAAUCAGAUAAUGGGUUUUCUGUGCUUUGAUAAGAUGCAUUAGAUAUUGGAAGAUUUAUUUAAAAGUUUGAAUUCAAUAA